GAAACAACAACAACGGAGCUUUUCUACUGAUCAAACUACUGAUGCUGCUUUCAGAGGGGGGUGCUGGCUGCAGGGCCGCUUUAAUAAGUGGGCAGCUGCCCAGGGCACACUUAUUUUGGGGCCCCAUGGCUGACUUGUAAAUUUUUUUUGCCUUUAUUUAUUUAUUAAAUAAGUACUUGGUGCUGGCUCCCUCCCUGGCCGAUCCACUCAUUUCACACCCCCCCCAACCCGGUAAAGUGGAAACGGCCAGAGGAGGAAAGGAAGCCCUGCCUACCGACUGCCUCAGUCUGCAGAGAGGGAGCCGGAAGAGACGAGUGUUGGUGCAUCAUACGCAGGUGCCUCGCUGGUCUGUGGCUGCUGCUCAAGUUCAUCAAAUCCUCCUGAUGUCGGCGCUUGUUGUACCCAGCUGUCACACUCGCACACCAUGACGCUGCCCGGCCCCAGCCUCUCCAGGAAUCCACCAGGCACCUUCACUGAAUCUAGGUAGCAUUUAUAGCCACUUCCAUAGCAAAAGGUGCAAUGGCAGCGGGAAGAGGUGGAAAGGCAACUUACGGAGCAAAAGAGGUACUGUCAAGAUCUGUGCAUCAGAUAUCGGAAAUAAGGCGGAGGCAAUCAUCUGGAGCCAUGCUGCAGAUCUCUGUAUGGAUAGCAUUCACAGAGAGGUGUAUGAUGCAUUACAGAGUGUCAUGGAGAAACUGCAGCUUCAGUUUACAGACUUGAUGCAAGAGAGAGUGGAGCUGAAGGAGCGUGUAGAAAAGCUGGAGCAUCAAUGUAUUCAGCUGUCAGGAGAAACAGACACUUGGUGAAUACAUUGCUGGACCAGAGAGCCAUACUGAAGCAGCGUCACAAGGAAAAGGAGUACAUUAGCCGACUGGCUCAGGACAAAGAGGAAAUGAAGGCUAAGCUGCUGGAAUUGCAAGUUUUGGUCAUGCGGCUGGUAACUGAGCGCAAUGAAUGGUACAGGAGUUUCAUGGAAGCAACCCAGGGUCCCCAGACAGGAUCAGAAGAGUUCACAGCAGAAAACCCUAUGGAACUUAGAGGAAAAGAGAAUGGAGCUCUGGAGGAAGUCGGCUUGGAAUAAGAUGGGAGACAGGAAGUCCAGUCAUUGCCUCAUUUGGCAGCUCCUCAGGAAUGACUAAACCCAACUUCUGCAUGAGAUACAGAAUCCCCAGGAACGGCCCGGUGCCCUGCUGCAGAAUCCAUGCAUCCCCUUUUUCUACCGUGCUGACUAAAAUGACGAGUUCGAAUAAUGGUGAUUUGAGGGAGGAGUUGACCGAUGCAUCCCUCCUUUUCCCAUGCCAACGCCUGCUUGUGCUGGGAUUCAUUUUCUCCAAGGACACAUUAGAAACGAUUGCUUUGGGGGAGUGCUGGAGAUUGGCAAUUAAUUGUGCAGAAUCUGACCAACGUGAUAGAUAUCUUUUUGCAAUUGAGCCUGACUCACACUUUGAUCCUGUAACUCUCCAAUUGGAAUUUUAGCUGCUAUCUGGUUUCUUGCGGCCAGUUUAUCCUAGCAACCAGGAGAGACUCGACUAUGACUAGGAAAAGCCUGAAUAGAAGAAAUAAGGGGGAAAAAAAUACAUGACAUUUAAGCCUC